AGCUUUGUGCAGUGGUAGUAUCAUAGCCAGCGAGGUUUAUCUGAGGCACGAUUAUCGACAAUUGAAACAAAACGUCCUCUUUUGCAAGUAAAACCUCCAGGCACCAAAGUGUUUGCUCGCUCUGCCAUGUGAGGACCCAGCCAGAAGUUCUGCAAGCCAGGAAGGG
ensembl:snRNA U4 U4 spliceosomal RNA